AUGCGCACUGAAAGAUGCUGCUUCAAGCUUGAUGGGCUCGACGUCCACUUCCGGCCAUGGCGUGCGGUCUCGCACGGCUACAACGCUGACCUCCACUACCGCGCCCAUGUGUUGGUGGACGGCCUGCCGCCGUUCGCUUGGCGCCCGGAAAUCGUGGACCAACUUGUGGGGCGGAACUGCGCGGUGCAACGAUUCGACGACGGCUUCACCACGAUGGAGGUCACCUCAUCGUUCGGUAUGUGGGUCUGGACGCCGUCCCCGCGCCGCAUCGCCAAGGCCAUGUGGUGCACCUUCGUCAACAAAGCGCCUUGCGGCCUCUCUUCAAGGAUUCGCAUCGACGAGGACAGACCGGACCAGUGGAAGAGGGGCAUGACCUUCCGGGUACUUCUCCACAUCGACCGCAUCGAGGAUUUCAACGGCGCACCGGUGCUUGAUGGUGACGCCCCUAUCUCGGACUUCAGGCCGCGAGUGCACGCCCUCCCGCCUUGCCACCUGGGCACCAUAGAUGGCAUGCCAGUGGAUGCGGGCGCCGGCUCCGUCCUCCCGGCGGCGAUCCCACCACUCGGUGACCUCCGCCCGCGCGACAAGGACGCCCGCGACCAGAAGGAC
rnacentral:rRNA from 1 species